CCGCCAGAGGGUCCCAAGCCCGGAUAAGAGAGGAGGGUUGGAAUUGUGACAUUAAAAAAAACAAGAAUCGACAGAAGAAAGUUCAUUUGUAGUUCUAAACAUAUUUCGGGUGUUUUUACUCACUUUUGUCUCUCCCACGACGUUAUUCCUCUCUCCUACAGCGUCCAUCACAAUUCCUCUCUCCUACAGCGUCCAUCACAAUUCCGCUCUCCUAUGACGUCCUUUAGCGACUUCUAGCGACUUUUGGGACAGCUAAUAGCUACUUUCCUUACUGCCUAAUCAAGUCUAAACAAAUGCAAGUUGAAGCUGCUAUUUUACCCGUUGCAUUGAAUGUCUAAAAUCACGUAAAACAAAAAGCAUAUAUAGACCUACUACUGUUGGUCUACCAACCCAGCCCAGGCAAGCAUUUGGGAUUUUUUGUCUCCCCAACGUUCUGAGGGACAUUGCCCACAUUUCUGUGGAUAAGGCCUAGGACUAGAGAACUAGUGCGUGCAGUUAGAUAUUUCGAACUGAAAGUUAUCGUUGACUGUCUUUCUAACACUGUAACAACAUACCUUACUAACCUAAUAUGUUUGGGUCAUGGGUGCCAAGGGAUGGUGGUCCAACAGACGUUUUCUUCAUAUUGUCUUUUUUUGGCAAUACAAUUGAGCCCUGCAGGUCAGUGACGUAAGUCUAGUUUAUGAUUUAACGUUUUCCAUAGCGGGCUUUAACCCCCAUCCUCUGGUGUAGGAUAGAUGUGGUUGUCCCUGGAAGCUGAUCUGAGGCCAGUUUGAAGUUAGAACGAGGGGUUUAAAGUUCAAAUGAGAGGUUUGGUCAUCUGAUCCUGCAUCAGCAGAAUCCACCCAGGGCGCCGUUGGAUACCCAUACAAGUAACAUAUCGCAUAUCGCAGGCUGUUGCGUUUUCUCGGAGGGAGUAGCUCUACGCGUAACAGUAUCCAUUCUCCCCCAUCUCAGCAGUGUGAUGGAUAAAGCCUCUCCGACCACAGACAAUCUCUGCCCGUAUCAAUGCCUCUGUGUCCCUACCGACACCAUCUGGGAGAUGCCAUGAGAUGUCAGCUGGGUUAUUUCUCACGCCGUCUCAGUACAGGUGAGAAUGUGGAAACAAGGGACAACGGAAAAGAAGGAUAACAUGAGAGUUCAGUUAUAGCGCGAAUUGAUUACAAGCUGCUGGAGCGAACAGGGCAAAGGAUUUGUGCUGUCGAAGUAAAGCAUCGGGCGACGGUGUAAUACAUUAUUCUAGUUAGUGCACCAUCACACCGAAAGUGUUUUAGUGAAUAUCCCAAUCACAUGUUUGUGAAAUACCAGGAUACGGGCUUAUCUGACAGGGGACUGUAAAGGUGCCGUCCACUCCUGACCUACAGGAUGCCAUCCUCCUGGUGCUGAUUUACACAGAUCGUUCACAGCUUUGUGGAAGUUACCUGUGGCGCUGAUGUUUAGGCCAAGGAGAUCCAACCAGAUGAGGUUUUGAGGCCGCCACCCCCAAGACCUCACAGGAACCCGCCCCGAUCUCUGCCUCCUCCCCCUCUCCACUACCUGUCUCCUGAUGUAUAGAACCCAUUGCUGAACGGUUUGAUGGAGAGUUGUAACCAGUUUAAUGUCAGCAGGAACAGUAGUAAUAAGUGGAGGACUUCUCGCCACAGUCAUCCUGCUCUGCAUUGUAGCAGUGCUGUGCUACUGCAGGCUCCAGUACUACUGCUGUAAGAAAAAUGAGUCGGAGGUGGACUUUGCUUCCAUGGCUGGAGGAGGUGACAGAACGGGAGGAGGAGAAGGGGAUGCUCAAGUGGAGGUUCAGGCUCACUUUGCCUGCAAUGCCUGCAGCGCCCCUGGGAUGGACAGCCUGGCUGUCACCCCUCUCUGCCUGGAGCCCCUGGAGGUGGGCCCUCCCCCCAACUACUGCCCCACCUGCUCCCCCUUCUGGCUACGCCCGGGACUUAGUGACGAGCUGCACAACGGAACCGAGCGGCUGGGAUUCCAUACGUAUCACUAUGACAACCCCGGACUGUGUCAAUCACUGCCCCUGUCAGACACGCCGCAGGAGCCCUUCUUUUUGACCCAGCCCGGCCAAUCCCCUUUGAGCUACUAUAGCCCUGUUGACACCUACCCUAACACACCCUGCAGUAACAGACGCCCCUACAGCACACCGGUUUAACACACAUGGACACACACACACACACACACUGACGUCACACACGCACUCAUACAAACACUCCUUCUCCCAGGGGAAAGAGACCCAGAGACAUCUAGAGUAUCACCCAUCCAGGGGAGAGAGACACACACUGAACCCACAGACGGAGCCUCCUGAUCGGGACAGAACUACAUACGGACCCUUGUCUGGUGCAGCGGUGUGGAGGUCUGGUCAUCUGGUAACCCAUACAGUGGAGGAGAUGUUGGGUUUGACUAUGGGAGACUACAGAUGAUGGGAGAAGAUAGACGAGAGCAGCCACACACUGUUGUUUCUCUCUCUUUCUCUCCAUCUGUCUUUCUCUCCCUCCUUUUCCAUCAUUUUCCAUCAUCUCUCUCCUCUGCCUGAAACCUGAUAAUGUGAACGAGGUGACUGUUAUGAGGGCUAUAUGUGUUUUCAAGUUUGUACGAUUUUUUUUUCUUCCAGAGUUUAAAGGAGCAGUAUGUCCCUGGUUGACCCUUAGAAAAAAAAAACAUUUGCAGUUUUACAUGUGAUUUAAAAAAUAUAUAUAUUGUAAGGGGAUAUCCGGAUGCAUUAAAUAUAAUCCUGGCUAAAACAAUACAAACACACAAACAUUUUAGCCAAUGAGGGCAUCUGUUUGUCCAAUUCUAUGAUGUUUCACUUAGCCCUUACCCUUCAGUCCUUCAAAACAGAGAUUCUGUACACUUACUAAAAUAUGUUCAUCAUGACACUGUUGAUAAUAUAGACUAGUAUUGAUAAAAGAGAUUUGACUGUUUUCACACAAUGCACUUUUCUCACAGGGUGCGUCCCAAAUUGCAUUGUAUUCCCUAUAUAGAUAGUACACUACUUUUGACCAGGACCCAUAUGGGUCUGGUCAAAAGUAGUGCACUAUCUAGGGAACAGGAUGCCAUUUUCGACAAAGCCAUAGUCUUCACAUCUUAGUCUUCCUCACUUCUCGUCCUUUUGUGAUUCUUUGUUAGAGAGUUGAUGGGGAAAUGGAUAUCUGUCUGUUCAUGUGUUGAUUUACUGACAAUAACACUCAAAGUUUGUGUUCACUGCUAUGUAGUCACACACUCACACAAAGACACUGCUUGCUGCCUGUAGUCUGCCAAUGAAGGUAACUCUAAUAUUGAAUUCACUAAUUAUAUAAUAUAUUUAUUUUUUCUAUUAAAGGUGGACUCUGAAAAAUGACAUCAUCAUAGACAGCAGGGCAACUUCCUGCCUACAGACAAUUUGCACUGUUCAUUGACACAUGCCCAUAUUGGGAAGAGCCAGUGACAGAUUUGAAUUUUGUUGUUGAUGAUGUCUCUAAACAGGAAGUUGACCCGCGGUGUACGAUGAUGUCAUGUAGCUGAGUCUCCCUUUAAAAUGAACUCUCUGAAGAUGAAUUCCAUGUUUAACA